AGGAAAGGUGUGGAAACAGUCUAGUUACUUGGUGGUGAAGUCCCAUCUGUAUAGAGACACGUGGUUCAUCAAUCAUAGUGCAUUUCAUUUGAUUGUGGUGCAACCUUGUCUUUUCCUUUCUUUUCUCGUGAUUAGCAUAUCGGUUGUACCACGGUGCUCUAAUGAUAUCUUGAUUUUCAAAUUUUCAAAAAAUUCUAGGGAAAAGAAGCUUUUAAAUCUGAAGGACGAGAAGAUUCAAGAAUUAGAGGAGCAGGUAAACUUCUCAAUUACUUUUGCCUCUAUAGUCUACAAACCAUUACAAUUUAGAAAAAUAAUAGUAAGCUAUUAAUGGGUCUUUUGCCACCUCUUCUGGGUAAACGCAGCUGAGAUGUUUGAUGGCGUCCAUUGAGGAUGUAAAUACAGAGCAACAGUCUACAGCUUCAAGUGAAUUUACGGACAGGCCAACAAAUACAGAAUCUUCUUCAAGAAAUGGGACGAAAGGAGCCAGAACGACAAGUAGUCGGAGAAAAAGCAAGGGUUGAGCUCUCUGGUUGAUGGCAAUGCUUAGGGCCUAAGGUGAUAUGUUAUGAAAAUCCGAAUUUUAUUUUAUUUUUCAUUUUUUUUCUGUGUGAUGAUUGAAGAAUUCGAAUAGAAUUUCAUGGCUAUUACGUGUGCAGAGCAUAGCAUAGCAUUCAAAAUGUAGCGUAGCUAAUGGUAUUUUUAAUUUGAAAUGUUCAUUCUAAUGUGACCUUUGUUUGCUUACAAAGGUCGUGUGGUAGCGCUUGCCAUCAAAUGAGUGGCAUAACCAGAUUAUCCAAACUGAACUUUGAGCGAAAUUUUAAUUGGAUCACUAAAUUUUAAUUUAUUUCAAUUGAGUCAUCGAAC
rnacentral:lncRNA from 1 species